AACGCACAUUGCGCCCAUUGGCAUUCCGAUGGGCAUGCCUGUUCGAGCGUCAUUAUCCGCCCUCAAACCUCGCGUUUGGUGUUGGACCGCGUUGGCUCCUCCGGGGGUCCACUGGUCUCAAAGACAAUGACGGCGUCCGUGGGACCCUCGGUGCAACGAGCUUUUCGAAGCACGCGUCGAGUCGAAAGGACCCUCCGGGCCGGUCUGAACCGUGAAUCAUUUUUUCUUUUUUCAGGUUGACCUCGAAUCAGGUAGGAAUACCCGCUGAACUUAA
rnacentral:misc_RNA from 1 species